CUAAAAAAAUAUAUCUCUUGCACGCCCGACAGAUCCUCCGUGAAUCCAUCCCUUAUCUUUUGCCCUCCUCAAGCCGCCCGCAUGGAAGAUCUCCUCCUUCUCUUCCCUCUAAUCGCACGCUUGAGCCUUAUCGCCUGGCUCACGUGACAGGGGGAUUGGAUCUCAUUUUUGCACAUUCUCCCCCAUCUCCUUCUCCUGCGCACAUACCCUGCCCCUCUCUGUGGCAUUUUGACGCCUUUCUCUCCCGCCUCCCUCAACUUUGGUUCACCACAGGUAAGCAAGGAAGGCCUCCUCCUCCAUCUUUGCCUAUAAAAACCCCAUCUGGGGGGUCUUUAGGGUUGGCCGAAAAUUUUAGAGAGGGUGGAGGUGCUGCCGGAUUGCUCCUAGACCUACUUUUGCUUCUCUUGUGUGCUCUACGCCAAUUGGUUAAAAAAAAAAGGGAGAGGAAAGUGGGGGAAUGUUUCGGUUAGCCUUGGUAUGAGGAGAGCUUGCUAGGGAUUGUUACUUUGCCCUCGGUCCAUUAACUUCUGAGCUUUGAUGUUUAUCUUUUAAUACUUCGUAUUUGUAAUUGUAUCCUAGCAUGUGAAAGUAAAGGGAGUGGAAUUGGUUAGUUGGGUUUUAUGUUGGGAUGUUUAUUUGGAAGCUCUUAUUGUAAUCCAUCUUCCAUCUAUUUCAUUGCUUUACUAUUGCAUA